GAAGAUCGUGGGUUUUUUGCUGACUUGGAGUUGGAGUUUGGGAAUUUUUUUGAAGAUAAUAAGGUGGCAUUUGGUAAUGAUCAUUUCAGCAGCAAAAAUGAGUGGGAUGACUUGAUCUCCGACCUUGAUUUUUGAAUUGAAAAAAUUUGUAAUUUGAUUAGUUGUUUGGUAAAAUUUUAGUAGCAUUGCUAAGAAAAAUUCUCAAACUUCGUUAAUGGAUAAUUUCUAUCUACUUCUAGUAGUUGAUUAAUACCCUUACAGAAUGUUUAUAACGUAUUUAUCUGGUGCAAAAUCAGUCAUAAUUUAUAUGAAUGAAAUGAGUCAAACGCUCCCUCAGUCUUUAUUAUGGAACUUAUCUUAUAUGUAGUAGCUAGCAUUUUUAAAAAAUAUAUACUUCUUUCCGCGAAUAUAUACUUUCUUUCCGCAAAUAUAUAUUUAUACAAAUGAAAGGAGACUAAAAAGUUCAAAACUUAAAAGCAGUAUUCACUGUUCAAUGCUCUUUUGACGCCUUCCUCGCGACGUCGUUGAAACCCCUUCUAAGCAAAGUAGCUUCUUAAUUGUGUUUUGCGCGAUAUUCUUAUGUAUAUAUAUAUAUGUUGCCAUUUGAGUCUCUUUCUAUAUGUGCGGAGAAAAAAGCCUACUGGAGUCAACAUAGAGUUUCAACUCUCAGGUAAUAAAAUUGUGUUCAUCUGAAGGUUUGAGCUUUAUGAUUUCUGGGUUUGAGUUCUAAUUAUGAACUGAAAACAAAAUUUUGUAUAACAAUCUGGAUUGAUUAGUUUAUUUGGAAUUCGAGUGUUUAGACACAGCUUACGAGAGUUCUUUUUUUCCUGGGUUGUUGAAAUCGUAGGAUAAUUCUUAUAUUUGUUAUUCUCUUUGGCUGAGUUCCAUUUUGCAAUAAUUCUUCUUCUUAGGCAUUCAGGUCAGAUACAGGUAGUAUUAAUUCAAUGGCUUACGUUCCUCCACAUAAGCGGCAUUCACUCGGCAAUGAGAGGCAGUCACCAAUUCCAGAGACAUUUGUUCCUCUCUUCAAGAGAAAUCUUAGUUUGAAAUUACCAGAGACAUCAAUAAAUAGGAGCGGAAAGAUUGUAUAUGCAGAUCAUGCCAUAUAUAGAUGGUUUGCCAUUGGUUUGGAUGAUGAUAACCAAAUUCCUCCUUACAUUUGUCUUAAGCCAGCUUCCGUGGAAUCUGUUGGGCGCAGAUCAGGAGAAAAAACUCUAGUCUUGGUCAACAGUAUUGAACCUGAUGGUUCGUAUGUCCUUUUUGGGAUUAUUCUCAUUAAUUUUCUAGAUAAUGCAAUGAGAUUAACCUUUAUUUUUUUGUUACAAUUGUGUCUGGUGUAGAGGAUUAUGAAGUGAGAGAGAAUUAUUUGACAAGUCCCUGGGUAACUAUAGCAGAAAAAGUACAGCAAGAUCUUCUAACUUCUUUUGAAAUUUUGAAGAAUGAAAUGGACUAUCCAGGGUUGGAAAUAGUUAAGCCAACAUUGGUUGCUAGAUUUUGUAAAAUUCUUUUUCAUGGGUAAGCAAUCCAAUUCCCUUGAUUGUUAGUUUCUUUUAUUUCAUAUACUAGCCUGAAAUAUUAGAUUUUACUUGGCCUUUUUUUAAAACAUAAAGUGAAUCGCUACAGCAAAGACACAGCCCCUUUUUUUUUUGGUUUUGAUAUAUUAUUUUGUACUUCUUGGUUAUGCAUGUUACAGAAACUGUCCAUAGUGAAACCUGCAAAAUUAGCGUGACCUUAACUUGUAGCCUUAAAAUCCUGGAGACUGAUCAAAUUAAAUUGCCUUGACUCAAUAAUGAGUUUUUAAUAGUUCUCAAAAACCCACAUCAUCAAUUAUGUUGUACUUGUGUUUUGAAGCCCUAAUAGUUAAGUGUAUAAACUAUAAAGUGUGACUUCUUUUUCUCAAGAACAAGUUUCUGAUUGAGUAGCUAUUGCAUUUGCCGAGGAAAGAGAGAAAUUUUUUGUUGUCUAAAAAUUGCAGAACUUCUUAGAUCACUUUGGUUUCUUACAGAAACUCCUAUAGAAUUUUUGACCUUUCGGUUUUUGAAACCGGAGUCAACUUCCUGGAUCUUGGUGUUAAGGUCGACUACAAACAUGUUCUAUUUCUCCACCUCGUGGUGUUUUAUGAAUGGGUUGAAUAUACGAAUCUUUCCUGGUGUUCAAAGCCUGGCUUAUGUUGUGGAGGAGUUGCCUGAAUAAUCUAAAGUGUGUGAUUUUGGUGUUUGUGCCUUACUUGCUGUUGCCUUGCAGUAGGAAGUUUCUGGGAGGGGCUUGAGAUGUGGAAAAAUCCUAUUAUUCUCCUUAUUAACAUUCUAGUACAUGUUGCAAAUGUUUCUUCCAUCAGUAUACUAACAGACGGGCAAGCAAAAAUUCAUCACAUUUGCUUUUUUUGGUGCAGGAACCCUCAGGUAAGCUUAGCAAACGUUGAGAAAAAUCAGGUUAAUGAAACCAUUUUGAAACGAUUGAGAAGUUCAAUUUACACAAAUAUUCCACCUUCAUAUAUGGAACUAAUGAUAGAUGAAGUUGUUCCUAAGAUUGGGGUUGAUUUUGAACAGGAAAAGGAAAUCUAUCAUGUAAAGGUAUUCCUUUGCUGCAUUCUUCUUCUUUCUACCACUCAUAAUAUCUGUUUCAGCUUGCUAAUGGUAUUUUGUUGUCUUGUGUAGUUGUCUGAUAACACACGGCCUGAUUCAACUGUUUCAUGCAAAUGUAGUGUAAAGACAGAUAAAAAACUACUACUCUACAAGGUAGUUUUUCCAUUUGAUUAGCAAGAGUACUGUCCCUAAAUGGUGCUAUAUAUGAAUUAUGAUAGGUGCGGGCUUUGUUGACACUGGUAUAAUUCGCGGGUGCCUUUCUGAUUUAAUUGAUCCUUUUCACUUUCACAUUGCAUAUGUUAUUUUUAAAAUGUACUUCUGCUUGUUUAUGGAGGUUGCCUGAAAAAAUAGGCAUUUUCCCUGUAGGUUGAACUAAACCAAGUGCGCCGGAUGGUCACGGAUAUAUCAUGCCUUGAUAGGAAUCUAGACCUCAGGCUAAUGCUAUGCACCAAGAGGAUCCUAACUUCUCUUACUGUAAGUUAAUCUGCCAUCACUUAUCAAAAAAGCAUUUGCCAUAGCCAACCAGAGAAGUGCCUGGGGCCCAUACUGUGGAGACCUUUGUCUUAUUAUUUGAUGACCAUUUUAGUUAUCCUACAUUUAGUGGCUUCACUGUUUCAAGGAAUGAUGGAAACUAUUUCAAUUAAAUGUAAGGGAGGGUAAAAAUCUUUGCCCUACAGAUUCUGUUUUAUACAACAACAUGGGAAAGAAAUCAUGGAAGGCAAAACUCUUUUAUGGGCUUGAACAACCUAGAUUGGCUCUAAAAUUGGCGGAGUAAAUUGAGAAGAUUAAAACCAUAUCUGUAAACCUGCUUCUGUUGCAGGAUAAGAUUGAAUGGAACAUCAUUCACCUAUUUUUCUGAGAGAGAUUUUUUCAUUGAACAUUGUAAAAUUUCUGAUACAUAAAAUAGUGUUUCAUAUGAAGAGCUUUAGUAAAUGCAAAAGAACUAUCAUGAUAUAUUUGAUGCCAUGAUAUCCUGAAAUUGAAUCAACUAAACCAGAACAUGUGUUUAACCUGCAUUUGCCAUGUACGGACUUUAGGUCAAAUUUUUACACCAAAGAGUGCCUUUUUAUAGUUAGACUAAUUGUAUGUACUAUUGCAUUUGCAGGUUGAUGAGAUGAAUAAAAUAAGAGAUCUGAUUGAUUCUGCAGUUUUGGAUUCAGACGUGAAGGGUGGGUUGAGAUGGCCCCUGGGGAAGGCAACUUCUGGAAAUAGAUACAGUGUAGUGGGGGUUUGGCAUACUAUAGCUAAAGCCUACAAAAAUCCAUCAGUUAGGCUCAAAGUAAGACAUGCCGAUCGAUUUGAUUUUAGGACUGGAAGUGGAGAAUCUACAAGGGAAGUUAAUCUGAAGUUGAAAGGAGUAGUGUCACGAUUGCAGGUGAGUUAUUUUUGUUCAGUUUGAAACUCCACUAUGCUUAGCUAACAUGAUGUGCUUAUAUUUACAUCCUGAAAUCUUAGGACUUUUCCCAAGUACUAUUAGUUUUAGCUUUUCCCAACUGAAAGAAUUUAUUGGUAUGGUCAUGCUUCAGUGAGUUGCAGAAUUCUAUAUACAUAGCUUUCUUGUUGCCUAUUUUGAUUUUACUAUUUUCUUGAUAAGUUUUGUUGACUGUUUAACAGUAAUUGAUAUAUUUUUUCCCCCUUGAGAAAACAAGUCUUGUUAGUUAGUCUCUGUCUCUUCAUUUGGCAGAUCUUUAUUUGUUUACAGCUUCAGUUCUUUCAAUUUUCAGGACCAGGGAACAGAAAGUGAUGCGGUCUCUAAUGUGCUUAAAGACAGCUUAAGGCUGAUAUGGGAGCACUUCUUAAACUGCAACCGGUUUUUAUCAUGAAAAACAUGUUAUCAGUUCACCUCCUCUCUGUAAAUAGUGUUCGUUUUUGAAUGACAGUUGAAGAAUGUAAUGUUGUUUUUUUGAAAUGGGGAGGGAUUUUUGAAGAAGACAAUGUUUUAAGUGUUUGAAGGAUCUGCUUUCGCCUCUUUAAAUGCAAUAAUGCCCUGUAAUUUUGUUCAUCUCUCUCUGUUGUAUUGCUCUUCUGGAUAAGCUUUCUUUGAUUUAUAUUUGUGGCUAGAAAUAUUAUUAUUUACAUUAAAUUUUAGGCCAAGGUUCAGACUAUUUUAAACCAAAUGAAUUAAUUUUUUUCCAAAAUUGAUUUUUGAAAAAGCUCAUAUUUGUGCAUAUAGUUUGGAGGUGAAGAUUUUGAUGAGUCAUGUGGUGGUCUAGAAAGUGGGAAUGAUCAAUUAAACUUUAUUAAUGAAUAAAAUGAUUCUAAAUUAGUAUUUUCUUCAUCUAUUUUUAUCUUUUAUUUUUUUUAAAAAUGUAUUUAAAAUUAUUUAUCAUUAAAAAAAAUUGAAUAUUAAUUAUUUUUUAGAGAUAUAAUUAUUGAGAUUGUAAUAAUUUAAUGAGAUAAAAAGUUUCAUAUAAAAAAACGAGAUAAAUGGGUAAUUUAAUUAAAUUAAUAAUUAUUUUGUUAAAUUUAGACAUUUUAAACGGCAUAAGAGGAGGGAGAGUUUAUUUCUUAAACUUCAUUAUUAAUUUGAGAUGAUCUAUCCAGAAAUACUGAUAUAAACCGUUUUAGAAAAAAUAAAAAGGGCAGAAAGGGAAGAGAAUGGGCACAAAGAAAUAGUUUCCUCAAGAAGGGAAAGCUUGCCUAAACAAAUGUAAUUUUCUCGUUUCCUUUCAUCUCAAAACUAACCCUUUUAGCUUCUUCCACCAUGAAACCCAAUCUAAUAACCGCCAAUUCUUUUCGAGUUUCCAAUUCCUUAACUCCUAGGAUUUCAAUUCCAUUUCCCAGACCUUCAAAUCCACUCUCCAAUCAUUUCCUUUCAACAACGUUUCACUCUUCCAAACCUUGUCGUUUCUUUCCUAUUUGAUUUUCAAAUCCCAAACAAUCCACUUUCAUUAAUGAAGCAUCGCCAGGUUCUACCGCCGAAUUGGGUGCCAUUUCAAAUGAAAGUCUAGGAGAAGAGGAAUUGGGGAGGAAUUUGAAUGUGCAAGUUGGAAAUUCAAUUGUUCCCUCGUAUUUUCAGUCGUCGACUAAGCUUAGUUUGAGUGACCAAGCUUUCUUUCUCCUGUCGUUUAUUGCUUGCACGGUAUAAAACUUCUUUCUUCUGGGUUUCAAUGGAACUUGUAGCUUAUACUUUUAGCUUGUGUUCUGGAUUUUAUAUGAUAAGAGGCAUUAGCUCAAAAUGCCGAACUCUAGAUGUAAUCAAUCUUUUUCUUUUUUCUCAAGUUAAAUCUUCAACUGAGCAAUGAACUUUGAAUUGCCUAAAUGCUAGCCUUUUGUUUUUGAAUUUUUGAUUAAUAGCAUGGAAACCUUUUUGUUUGGUAUGCAAAUUUGCAAUCUAUCUGAAUUGGAAGGAUUUGAAUUUUUUUUUUUUAUGCAUAUCAGUUAUUUAGUAGUGUGUUUAUAAGAAAACUAGCUGCUUCUGAUGUUCUAAUUUGGGUCACAGGUGAACUUACAGUUCAUACUAUGGUCAUGAAUUGGUGAGAAGAGAAAGUAAAUAACUUUUGGCCAUUCUGAGCAGUUGUUUAUCUUGGCAUUUACCACUUGCAUAUUAUGGUUUUAUUUAGCUAAAGUGUGACUAAGAGCUUAGAAACUGUGAUUACUUGAUGGGACAAUUGUCUUCAUUGAAAAUUUUCCUAUCAAAAUCUUCUUGUAUACCAUACAGAAACUCGUCUUUGUUCUAUUUCCAUGAAUUUGUUGACAUCAAGCUUUAUUAGUUUAACUGCCUGCAGACUUCUAUAGCAUUUACAAGCCUUGUCGUUGCCGCCAUCCCAACAGUCUACGUAAGUCAUAUGACACAUCAAACUAUAUUCAAGAUAUCUGAAAUUUCACACAAGAUGAAAUUGAUCUCAUUAUCAAGCUUCAUAGGCUCUUGGGCAACAGGUAAAUUGAUUAAAUAAAUAAUUUUUGCUCGUAACUAUUUAAAUUGACGCGUCAAUAUAGUUCUUAUUAACGGAUCAUGUUGUUAUUUUAAAAAGUUCUUUUAUUUGUAACUUCAAAUGGAAAUCGAGAAUUUUGCAGAUUUACAGAUAUAAUAAGUUAAAAUACAAAUUGGUAUUUGAAUUCUUUUUUUAUUUUGUGAAUAUUUUGCCUGCAAUAUAAGUUCCAAUUAUUUGAAUUUCUGGAUUUGUUUUAGAAAUUUUUUCAAUUUGUUGAAUUGAAUCUGGCUUUAAAUUGAUUUAUUUAAGGCAAUUUUAAUUUAAGUUUCAAUUUUCAAUUGGGCACAAUUUUUGUUUUAUUAAAUAGAGUUAAAUUGAGAGAUUAACAGAUGUUAAUGGAUGCUUAAUUAGGUGGUCAUUGAUUGCCAGCAGACUUCCAGGAAGAACAGCAAAUGAUGUAAAGAAUUACUGGAAUUGCCACAUAAGCAAAAGACUAAAUGCUAAAGAAACCAAACAGAAGCAAAUUGCAAGAAACCCACCUCAGCCUGAAAAUCCUGCAACAAGCCCAAGAAGCCCAGAAGGCCCAAGUUACUUGCAACCACAACAUGUAGAACCCAGUAGAUGUAGCCCAUUAGCAGCAAUCCAUGUGACUGAAGACGGACAGGGCCCACGUGUGAUUCAAGAGAAGGAGAAUUGCUAUUCUGGAUUUGAAGAUCGUGGGUUUUUUGCUGACUUGGAGUUGGAGUUUGGGAAUUUUUUUGAAGAUAAUAAGGUGGCAUUUGGUAAUGAUCAUUUCAGCAGCAAAAAUGAGUGGGAUGACUUGAUCUCCGACCUUGAUUUUUGAAUUGAAAAAAUUUGUAAUUUGAUUAGUUGUUUGGUAAAAUUUUAGUAGCAUUGCUAAGAAAAAAAAAUUCUCAAACUUAGUUAAUGGAUUCAGCAAUUGAUGAUAAUUUCUAUCUACUUCUAAUAGUUGAUUAAUACCCUUACUGAAUGUUUAUAAUGUAUUUGUUUGGUGCAAAAUCAGUUAUAAUUU
rnacentral:lncRNA from 1 species